CAAUGUUCAGAAAUCUCUCACCAUCUUCAAAUCUCUUACUGACCUGAAGUCCCUGCAACGUAUUGUAAAUAUUAAUAGGACUAUCAAUAUCUAACAUCCAGGUCAUUGUAUCAUAAAUAGAGAAGUUGCAAGGUGUUAUCAUAUAAUUAUCUUGCCCAGUAACUGAUUGCUUCUUCUUCUUUGGCCUGUUCAGAUCAAGAAAAGUUAUGUAUUGAGGAUAGUUUCUCUUCCAAUGAUCCCGCUUCUUAUAGUAGUACUUUAUCUGACUCUGAUCAGACUUAGACUUGGACUUCUUGGUCUGACCCCCAGUACUUGAUAUCUUUUUAUUCUUUUUUUCUUUUCUUUCUUAAGGGACGACGCUCGUCCGAAGAAGAUCCUCCCACUACAUUCAUCGUCUUCUUGUGGAGCUGGUGAUGCUUCUCAAAAGUCUGUAGUAAAUCCAACAGACUGUGAUAGUUCACUACAGGUUUCGU
rnacentral:lncRNA from 1 species